rnacentral:tRNA from 1 species
AGAGAGAUGGCAGAUUGUAAUGCAGUUAGUUUGAAACUAAAGUGAUGCAGGUUUAAUUCCUGUUCUCUUUU